GAUGAACGCUAGCGGCAGGCCUAACACAUGCAAGUCGAGGGAGGAGCCUUCGGGCUUCGACCGGCGUACGGGUGCGUAACGCGUAUACAAUCUGCCUUUCACAUAGGGAUAGCCCGAAGAAAUUUGGAUUAAUACCUAAUGGUAUAUAGGGGUGGCAUCACAUUUAUAUUAAAGCUGAGGCGGUGAAAGAUGAGUAUGCGUUCUAUUAGCUAGUUGGAGAGGUAACGGCUCCCCAAGACUACGAUAGAUAGGGGUUCUGAGAGGGAUAUCCCCCACACUGGUACUGAGAUACGGACCAGACUCCUACGGGAGGCAGCAGUGAGGAAUAUUGGACAAUGGUCGGAAGACUGAUCCAGCCAUGCCGCGUGCAGGAAGACGGCCUUAUGGGUUGUAAACUGCUUUUGCAGGGGAAGAAUAAGGACUACGAGUAGUUUGAUGACGGUACUCUGCGAAUAAGCAUCGGCUAACUCCGUGCCAGCAGCCGCGGUAAUACGGAGGAUGCGAGCGUUAUCCGGAAUCAUUGGGUUUAAAGGGUCCGUAGGCGGGCUAAUAAGUCAGAGGUGAAAGCGCUCAGCUCAACUGAGCAACUGCCUUUGAAACUGUUAGUCUUGAAUGGUUGUGAAGUAGUUGGAAUGUGUAGUGUAGCGGUGAAAUGCUUAGAUAUUACACAGAACACCGAUAGCGAAGGCAUAUUACUAACAAUUAAUUGACGCUGAUGGACGAAAGCGUGGGGAGCGAACAGG
rnacentral:rRNA from 1 species